GUGUGUUUUUAGCAAUAAUGUCCUUUGAAAUGUUUUUUACUUCAUUGUAAUAAAUUAUAUUUAGGAUUUUUACUUUGAGAAAAUUAGAGUGUUUCUAGCAGGCUAAUGCUUUGAAUACUGCAGCAUGGAAUAAUAAAAUAGGAUUUUGGUUCUACAUUAUUGGUUUUAAGAGCUAAAUUAAUGAUUGAUAGGGACAGUUGGGGGCAUUUGUAUUUAACUGUCAGAGGUGAAAUUCUU
rnacentral:rRNA from 1 species